UACCGGAGCCAUGGAAGCCAAAUGCUGAGGAUGGUGGCAUCAUAGGAUGAGUGGAGCUGGGUUCUUGAAACACUGCCUGGAGGAAAGACAGCAAAAAUGCCUCAUGAAUCCAACUGGACUGUUAGGAUGCUCACCCUUGGAGACCAGCAACAAUGUGUGCAGAAACCCAGGCCAUGUGGAGAGGCCCCACAUACGUGUCCAACUGAGGUCCCAGCUGACAGCUGGCAUUGACAUAAUGUUCACUCUGGGGGAAGCCAGCUGCCAUGCUGUAAGGACACUCGGGCAGUCCUAUGAAGAGGCCCGUGUGGUGAGAAAGUGAGGCCUCCAGCCAACAGCCAUGUGAGUGGGCCAUUGAGGAAGCAGCCUCAGUGCCUGCAGCCCUGACUGGCAUCCUGAACUACUACCUUAAAUGAGACCCUGAGCCAGAGUCACUACUUCCAAAUUCUUGACCCACAGAAAUUGUGAAAUAAUAUUUGUUGUUUUAAGCCGCCAAGUUUUGGGAGUAAUUUGUUAUAUAGCAAAAGAUAAUUAAUACAUUCACUUCCUAAGAUUAUGGUGAAGAAUUAAGGAUACAGCAUGAAAAGAACUUUGCUAUUAUUUUUAUUAUCUGAUCCAAUUUAUGUUGAAGGGCCUUCAGUACUUUCUUCUUUUACUCUAUCUUGACAUUUGUCUGAAACAUUUUUGUUUGUUUGUUUGUUUGUUUUUUAGAGAUGGGGUCUUGCUAUAUUGCCCAGUUGGAGUGCAGUGGUUAUUUACAGACAGGAUCCCACUACUGAUCAGCAUGGGAGUUUUCACCUGCU
rnacentral:antisense_RNA from 1 species